rnacentral:rRNA from 1 species
AACCUGCCCCAGGCUUUGGGAUAACCCUCGGAAACGGGGGCUAAUACCGGAUAUGACCUUUGGACGCAUGUCUUUUGGUGGAAAGUUUUUCGGCCUGGGAUGGGCUCGCGGCCUAUCAGCUUGUUGGUGGGGUGAUGGCCUACCAAGGCGACGACGGGUAGCCGGCCUGAGAGGGCGACCGGCCACACUGGGACUGAGACACGGCCCAGACUCCUACGGGAGGCAGCAGUGGGGAAUAUUGCACAAUGGGCGGAAGCCUGAUGCAGCGACGCCGCGUGAGGGAUGACGGCCUUCGGGUUUGUAAACCUCUUUCAGCAGGGACGAAGCGUAAGUGACGGUACCUGCAGAAGAAGCGCCGGCCAACUACGUGCCAGCAGCCGCGGUAAGACGUAGG